UAGGGAAUAUUGGACAAUGGGCGAAAGCCUGAUCCAGCAAUGCCGCGUGAGUGAUGAAGGCCUUAGGGUUGUAAAGCUCUUUUACCCGGGAUGAUAAUGACAGUACCGGGAGAAUAAGCUCCGGCUAACUCCGUGCCAGCAGCCGCGGUAAUACGGAGGGAGCUAGCGUUGUUCGGAAUUACUGGGCGUAAAGCGCACGUAGGCGGCUAUUCAAGUCAGAGGUGAAAGCCCGGGGCUCAACCCCGGAACUGCCUUUGAAACUAGAUAGCUUGAAUCCAGGAGAGGUGAGUGGAAUUCCGAGUGUAGAGGUGAAAUUCGUAGAUAUUCGGAAGAACACCAGUGGCGAAGGCGGCUCACUGGACUGGUAUUGACGCUGANGUGCGAAAGCGUGGGGAGCAAACAGGAUUAGAUACCCUGGUAGUCCACGCCGUAAACGAUGAUAACUAGCUGUCANGGCACAUGGUGUUUUGGUGGCGCAGCUAACGCAUUAAGUUAUCCGCCUGGGGAGUACGGUCGCAAGAUUA
rnacentral:rRNA from 1 species